GGAAUAAUACCCUAUUAUUAAAUAGGAUUAGGUUGAAUUAGUAUGAAAGAAAUUUAAAAGGUUUGGUGGUUAUCUAGUUAUUAGAGGAGCUUGUUUUUAGAAGAAUUUACUCUUUAUAUUUAAAAUAAAAUGUGCUUAUACAUCUCCGUUAUUAGGUAUUAAUUAAUUAAAUUUAUUUUAAUAUUUCAGGUCAAGAUGUAGCUAAAUUAAGAUAGAAUUAGCUAUAAUUUUAAAAAGAAUUUUAAAUUAGGAGAAUUUUAUAAAUAAGAUUGAAUUUAAUUGUAAUUUUAUCUAGAAAGAUAAAGUAAGAAGAUUAAAUAAUGUACAUAUC
rnacentral:rRNA from 1 species